GUGAAUCUUCAAAGUCGGCUCGUCGGAUUGUGCUGGUGGAGACACAUGUGCACGUCUUGCGAGUCGCAAACCCACACACCUGUGCAUCUAUGACUCUGAGUGCCGCUUUGCAUGGCCUUGAUCGGCCUGGCGCUCGAGUACUUUUCACACUCCUGAAUGUAAUGGAAUGUCUUGUUGUGCGUAAUGCACAAAUCGAAA
rnacentral:misc_RNA from 1 species